rnacentral:rRNA from 1 species
UUGAACGCUGGCGGCCUGCUUUACACCUGCAAGUCGCACGGCAGCGCGGGCUUCGGCCUGGCGGCGAGUGGCGAACGGGUGAGUAAUGCAUUGGAACGUGCCCAGUAGUGGGGGAUAGCCCGGCGAAAGCCGGAUUAAUACCGCAUACGACCUGAGGGUGAAAGCGGGGGACCGAAAGGCCUCGCGCUAUUGGAGCGGCCGAUGUCGGAUUAGCUAGUUGGUGGGGUAAAGGCUUACCAAGGCGACGAUCCGUAGCUGGUCUGAGAGGACGACCAGCCACACUGGGACUGAGACACGGCCCAGACUCCUACGGGAGGCAGCAGUGGGGAAUUUUGGACAAUGGGGGCAACCCUGAUCCAGCCAUGCCGCGUGCGGGAAGAAGGCCUUCGGGUUGUAAACCGCUUUUGUUCGGGAAGAAAUCCUCUGGGCUAAUACCCCGGGGGGAUGACGGUACCGGAAGAAUAAGCACCGGCUAACUACGUG